rnacentral:rRNA from 1 species
UACAGAGGGCGCGAGCGUUAUUCGGAAUUACUGGGCGUAAAGAGCACGUAGGCGGCUUGGCAUGUCGGGCGUGAAAUCCCCGGGCUCAACCUGGGAACUGCAUCCGAAACUGCCUUGCUAGAGUAUGGGAGAGGGAAGUGGAAUUUCCGGUGUAGCGGUGAAAUGCGUAGAUAUCGGAAGGAACAUCAGUGACGAAGGCGACUUCCUGGACCAAUACUGACGCUCAGGUGCGAAAGCGUGGGGAGCAAACAGG